rnacentral:rRNA from 1 species
UACGGAGGGUGCAAGCGUUAUCCGGAUUCACUGGGCGUAAAGCGCACGUAGGCGGAUUUGUAAGUCAGGGGUGAAAUCCCGGGGCUCAACCUCGGAACUGCCUUUGAUACUGCAAGUCUCGAGUCCGAUAGAGGUGAGUGGAAUUCCUAGUGUAGAGGUGAAAUUCGUAGAUAUUAGGAAGAACACCAGUGGCGAAGGCGGCUCACUGGAUCGGUACUGACGCUGAGGUGCGAAAGCGUGGGGAGCAAACAGG